UUCGUGGGUGUGUUUGUUCCACUAGGGGAUAAAGACAGACUAGAGAGGCACACAAAUAAAUCCUCUUUUGCAACCCAGAACUCAUUGUUCAGUAUGAGUUUUGAGAUAAACAAGAACAAA